CCGUACAUACAUUUUCAAUGGAGGGACAGAAAGCUCUCUGACUAAAUCUAAAAUAUCUUAAGCUGUGUUCCGAAGAUGAACGGAGGUAUUACGGGUUAGGAAAGACAUGAGGGUGAGUCAUUAAUGAUAUAAUUUAAAUUUUUGGGUGAGCUAACCCUUUAAGAUAUUUUCCAUAUUUUCGGAAGGCUUUUUGUGACUGUCCCAUAGACUGCCAAGUAAAAUACACUGUCAAGGUCCAGAAAAGAAUGAAAGCAUUAUCAGAAUAGUCCAUCUGCCAUCAGUGGUUCAACCAUAACGUUAUGAAGCAAUGAGAGUACUGUUUGUAAGCGAAAGAAAACCAAAAUAAUGACUUUUUUCAGCAAUUCCUUUGUCAACAGUCUCCUCUGUGUCUCUCAACAUCACUUGAACGGCCUAUGUUCUUCGGUGUCAGCCACACCACAAGGAUGCACUGUUUUCUCUCAAAUCAAAUCAUACAUUGCCAACUGGCAACCACGUGCUCUCUCUCUCAUGAGGCCAACACGUAAGUGACUGUAAUUCGUCAACAGGCCUCUGGAGGCUGGCUGCAAAAGGAAAAACAGUCCAUCCUUGUGGUGCGGCUGACACAGAAGAGCGUAGGCAGUUUGAGUGAAGUGGAGAAACACAGAGGAGACUGUUCACAAAGGAAUUGUUGAAUAAAGUCAUUAUUAUUGUUUUCUUCGCUUACAAACAGUAUUCUUGUCACUUCAGAACGUUACAGAUGGACUAUUCUGAUGAUGCUUUUCAUUAUUUUCUGGACCUUGAUAGUGUAUUUUACUUG